rnacentral:rRNA from 1 species
GUGCUGAAUUAUUCGCCAAUGCGCGAAAGCGUGACGGUGCGACGCCGCGUGCGGGACGAAGGCCUUCGGGUUGUAAACCGCUGUCAAGGUAUAGAAAACCGUCGGAGUUAAUAGCUCCGGCGCUGAUCCUACCUAAAGGAAGCACAGGCUAACCUCGUGCCAGCAGCCGCGGUAAUACGAGGUGUGCGAGCGUUGUUCGGAAUCACUGGGCAUAAAGGGUGCGUAGGCGGUGCGCCAAGUCGGGUGUGAAAUCCCUUCGCUUAACGGAGGAACUGCAUUCGAUACUAGCGUGCUAGAGGGUAAAAGAGGCAAGCGGAAUUCUAGGUGUAGCGGUGGAAUGCGUAGAUAUCUGGGAGAACGCCGAGGGCGAAGGCAGCUUGCUGGGUUACUUCUGACGCUGAGGCACGAAAGCUAGGGGAGCAAACAGGAUUAGAAACCCCGGUAGUCC